UUGGGAAGGGGCUAGCGUUGUUCGGAAUUACUGGGCGUAAAGAGCGCGUAGGCGGCUUACCAAGUUGGGGGUGAAAUCCCGGAGCUCAACUCCGGAACUGCCUUCAAAACUGGUAGGCUCGAGUCCGGAAGAGGGGCGUGGAAUUCCCAGUGUAGAGGUGAAAUUCGUAGAUAUUGGGAAGAACACCGGUGGCGAAGGCGGCGCCCUGGUCCGGUACUGACGCUGAGGCGCGACAGCGUGGGGAGCAAACAGG
rnacentral:rRNA from 1 species